rnacentral:rRNA from 1 species
UACGGGGGGGGUAAGCGUUGUUCGGAAUUACUGGGCGUAAAGGGCUCGUAGGCGGCCAACUAAGUCAGACGUGAAAUCCCUCAGCUUAACUGGGGAACUGCGUCUGAUACUGGAUGGCUUGGAUUCGGGAGAGGAAUGCGGAAUUCCAGGUGUAGCGGUGAAAUGCGUAGAUAUCUGGAGGAACACCGGUGGCGAAGGCGGCAUUCUGGACCGACAUUGACGCUGAGGAGCGAAGC